rnacentral:rRNA from 1 species
AUUGAACGCUGGCGGAAUGCUUUACACAUGCAGGUCGAACGGCAGCACGGGAGCAAUCCUGGUGGCGAGUGGCGAACGGGUGAGUAAUAUAUCGGAACGUGCCCGGUCGUGGGGGAUAACGUAGCGAAAGCUACGCUAAUACCGCAUACGAUCUACGGGAUGAAAGCGGGGGAUCGCAAGAGCCUCGCGCGAUUGGAGCUGCCGAUAUCAGAUUAGGUAGUUGGUGGGGUAAAGGCUCACCAAGCCAACGAUCUGUAGCUGGUCUGAGAGGACGACCAGCCACACUGGGACUGAGACACGGCCCAGACUCCUACGGGAGGCAGCAGUGGGAAUUUUGGACAAUGGGCGCAAGCCUGAUCCAGCAAUGCCGCGUGCAGGAUGAAGG